UACAGAGGUCUCAAGCGUUGUUCGGAUUCAUUGGGCGUAAAGGGCGCGUAGGCGGCGGGGUAAGUCGGGUGUGAAAUCUCAGGGCUCAACCCUGAAACUGCACUCGAUACUGCUCUGCUUGAGGACUGGAGAGGAGACUGGAAUUCACGGUGUAGCAGUGAAAUGCGUAGAUAUCGUGAGGAAGACCAGUGGCGAAGGCGGCUCACUGGCCCGGUACUGACGCUGAGG
rnacentral:rRNA from 1 species